GAUAAACGCUGGCGGCGUGCCUAACACAUGCAAGUCGAACGCCCUUGCGCAAGUGAGGGAGUGGCGGACGGGUGAGGAACACGUGGGUUAUCUGCCUUUCGGUGAGGAAUACCGGCGAGAAAUCGCCGACAAUACCGCAUACGGUUCGUGCGAGAGUACGAAGGAAAGUCGCAAGACGCCGGAAGAUGAGCCUGCGCCCGAUUAGCUCGUUGGUGGGGUAAGAGCCUACCAAGGCAACAAUCGGUAGCUGGUCUGAGAGGACGAUCAGCCACACUGG
rnacentral:rRNA from 1 species